GGGAAUAUCACGCUCCGACGAAUCGGACCUAAUCGCACAAUCUCAUAUCUCUCUGAAUUGCUACAGAUUUUGAAGGUCCUCACUUGGUUCGUCAAUGGAAGCGAUACGAAAGCAAGCUACAAGGCUCAGGGAACAGGUCGCUCGCCAACAGCAAGCUGUUCUCAAGCAGUUCGGGGCUGGGGGAUAUGGUUCAGAUCUUGUGACUGAUGAAGCUGAGAUGCAGCAGCAUCAUAAGCUCGAAAGGCUUUACAUAUCCACUCGUGCUGCAAAGCACUUUCAAAGGGAUAUUGUCCGUGGUGUUGAAGGCUAUAUUGUUACUGGGUCUAAACAAGUUGAAAUAGGAACUAAACUGUCAGAAGAUAGUAGGAAAUAUGGCGCUGAAAAUACAUGUACAAGUGGUACUACAUUGUCAAAAGCUGCAUUAGGUUUUUCACGUGCUCGUGCUCAGAUGGAGAA
rnacentral:misc_RNA from 1 species